AAACAGUCUACAGCAGGGGGACAUGGAUGGGGCAAGACGCCUGGGACGCUUGGCUCGCCUGCUUAGCUGUGUGGCCAUCAUCGUGGGCUUCCUUAGCAUCAUAAUCUAUGUGGUCGUUGCAGUAACUGGAUAGGAGGCAUAGUAAGAACGAGAAACCCAUCUACAGCACUACUGCAAACAAAAUAAAAACCUUACCCAUGAUGUAAUUAAAAUAAGAUCUCCCUCUUAACAAUAAUGCCACAUAAGAUAAAAAGAAAUGAGGACUGUAGCAGCAAAAUAAGAUCUGAUUAAAUAGCAAAUAUGCAUGCAGUAGAUUAGCAUGCUCAGUGAAAAAACUCCCAUAUGUUAAAAAGAACAGUAAUGGCUUGCAUUAUGUAAAUGAGAAACAUUGCUGUUGUGGCAAGAACUCGUCUGAGGAUGGCACAAAGGACAAGGGGACUUUUUUUUUUUUUCCCCAAAGAUGGUCUUUGAAAACAUGGCUAUGCCCGGCAAGCUGCAUUUUAACCUUAUAUUACUCCUGGUUGAUCUUGCAUUUGAAAAUUAUGCACAGAAAUAUUUGCAACAUAACCACUGAUGUAUGUUUUAUAAAAAGAUUUAUAUGUGGAGUUUAAGUGACGGGAAUGAACUAGGGAUGACAAUCUGUUAGAUAGAAUCCUUGUCAUACUUAACAGAAAUGGUCAUUGGGGUUUGAGAUUUCAUUUUUGUUUAUUUAUUUUGUAUGUUUUGAUUAUUAAAAAAAUGACCACACGCAUGCCUGAUCCUGUAUGUGAAUAACUGUCAGCAUUUUUCACUACUGUUUUUUAUCUGUAAGAGUAGUGGGUAUUUAAAGAUGGGAGUGUACAUCAUUGUCCAGUGUAUAAAAUGCUAUAUUCUUUCAAUGGCACAAAGUUCAUGGAGAGCUCUGCCUUUAACCACGAGGAUCCACUACACAUCCCAUACUAGCAUAGAGAGGUAAGACUGAAAUGUUACGCAUGCCAGCCCUCUCUUUCCUGUCAAAAACUGCUGGAGCAUGGACAUUCAUCUAGAGGCAUGCAACGGCCAGCACCAUUCUGUGCCAAGACCUUUAUAUCAGUAUGCUAAAUAAAUCACAGGACUAUUCAUCUUUACCCUGGGUUCUUUCCUGGACAGAAUGCCAGUUUCCCUGUCAUAAAUCUCCAGACUUAUCCCUUAUUAAUAUGAGAUAUAUAUCAACAUAUUUAUAGAAAUAUUUAGGCAUGCCGUGGGUGGACAAAACAUUUUUUUAUCUUCACCUAGAAUGAGCUUGUGUGUAAGGGACUUUGCUUUGACACGUCUCACAGUGUUUAUUGCAUCUCCAUGAUUGCCAAUUCUUCAAUCUGCUGAUAUUAAUAUGAGAAAAUUACACAAUCGGAGGUACAGACACAUAACAGCACUUCUCUGGCUAGUUAGACCGAGUGACGGUUAAGAAGGAAAUGUCUAUUGACGUGCUUCAUUCAUACUGAAUUAAGUAUUUGACUGCCCUGUCAUAGAUUUCAAUGCACUUUAUCACUUACUUUUCAUCAAUAUUCUUAUGUACUGUCAGUACUUUUGUAUCCUAAAAGUAUACUUUCAUGUAUAAUCUCCUAAAAAUAGACUGUUAGUACCUAAACACCUAAGAUGACCGUUUCAUAUAUAGGCAUUAUGCUGUAUAAUGUACUGUUUUGUGCUUCUCAUAACUCUUUUGUUCACUAUAAGCGAUUAUGUUACGGUGUUGUUCAUAAAACCCAUUAUGCCAUUAUGAAUGAGAUGCAAAAAUGCUGCUAUGGUUCUUAAAACUGUGAUUUAUUAUGUACAACUUUGCAUUCUUGGUUCACUUGUAUAUCUGUUUUCUAUGUUAGGUUACUGUGUAC